UUCUGGCUCAGGACGAACGCGGGCGGCGUGCUUAAUACAUGCAAGUCGAACGAGUGCAGCAAUGCAUUAGUGGCGGACGGGUGAGUAACGCGUGGGCAAUCUGCCCUCUAGCCUGGGAUAACAGUUCGAAAGGACUGCUAACACCGGAUAUGCUUACACCUUGGCAUCAGGGAGUAAGAAAAGUUUACACUAGAGGAUGAGCCCGCGUCCCAUUAGCUAGUUGGUGAGGUAACGGCCCACCAAGGCGACGAUGGGUAGCCGACCUGAGAGGGUGAACGGCCACACUGGGACUGAGACACGGCCCAGACUCCUACGGGAGGCAGCAGUAGGGAAUUUUCCGCAAUGGGCGAAAGCCUGACGGAGCAACGCCGCGUGAGGGAUGAAGGUCUUCGGAUCGUAAACCUUUGUCUAGAGGGAAGAUAAUGACGGUACCUCUGGAGGAAGCCACGGCUAACUACGUGCCAGCAGCCGCGGUAAUACGUAGGUGGCAAGCGUUGUCCGGAAUUACUGGGCGUAAAGGGCGUGUAGGCGGCCUUUUAAGUCAGACGUGAAAACCCUGGGCUUAACCCAGGACCUGCGUUUGAUACUGGAGGGCUUGAGGACCGGAGAGGACAGUGGAAUUCCCAGUGUAGCGGUGAAAUGCGUAGAUAUUGGGAGGAACACCAGUGGCGAAGGCGACUGUCUGGACGGCACCUGACGCUGAGGCGCGAAAGCCAGGGGAGCAAACGGGAUUAGAUACCCCGGUAGUCCUGGCUGUAAACGAUGGGUACUAGGUGUGGGAGGUAUCGACCCCUUCCGUGCCGCAGCUAACACAAUAAGUACCCCGCCUGGGGGGUAC
rnacentral:rRNA from 1 species